CCAAUAUUCAAAAUACAUUAAACUCCCUCCAACUCACUCGUCGACUUAACCCCCUGUUAAUUUUUUAGAACAGGCUAUAUCUUUUCUGACCGCCACCGUUCUUCUGAAUUAUCUCUCCUGAAACUGCAUGCAAACCCUUUUCUCGAUUCUAUCUUUUGAGUUCCCGAGCUUACCGUUCCAUUGAUAGGUUAAUGAACUUCCUCUGAGCAAUUCCAUUGAAGCAAAGCUGUUGGGAUAACACGUUGAUGUUUUAGGGUCGAUGUAGAAUCAGAAAGAUGUGCCUCCGUUUAGGAAUAAAUUCCAGUAAUGGCUUCCCAUGAUCCGGCGGUCGGGUAUUCCGGAUGGGUUAGUCAUUGGACGCCUACGAAAGACUCACUGUUUGUUAAAUAUGGGUGUUUGCAAUUUACUUUAUCUUGGUACGCCUUUGGCUUAAAACAGUUCUCACUUGAUUUCGUCUAUGGUGAUUUGGAUAUGCGUAGGAGGAUUCAUUUCAGAUUUUUUGUAAAAAAGUUACAGACUAUACUGUUGCACAAUUGAGGCAUGGUCACUGACCCAUGUUGUUGUGUGACACCAUUUGCAAGCUAAAAGAUAUAGCCACACAAGCGAUAGGCUUAUCAGAUUGGUCGAGGUGAAUCCACUGGACAUGCUGAACUUUAGAUGAAUGCUACCCGUAUAUAGCUUGGAACUUUGGUUUUCUAUAUCUUAUCGUUGUCAAACUCUAGCUAAGACAACGUAGUUCUGUAUAAUUUUCUAAUGUGUUUUGAAAGUUAAAUCACUUCAGCUGGAAAUUUAAGGAACCUUUAGGGCUUUGUAUAUAUGUAUUUAUAUCACAAAAAUAUUUAUGAAUCUUUCUUCCGAUU